rnacentral:misc_RNA from 1 species
AACGCACAUUGCGCCCCUUGGUAUUCCAUGGGGCAUGCCUGUUCGAGCGUCAUUUGUACCCUCAAGCUUUGCUUGGUGAUGGGUGUUUGUUCCGCUGCAACGCGUGAACUCGCCUCAAAUCAAUUGGCAGCCGGCAAUCUGGUGUUUGAGCGCAGCACAUUUUGCGCUCUUCGCUGCGUAUUGCGGGCGUCCAUGAAGCCUAUAUUUUCGCGCUUGACCUCGGAUCAGGUAGGGAUACCCGCUGAACUUAA